AACCCAAGGAAAAUAUGGAUGACUAUUUGUUUCAGUUUCAACCCUCUGUUUAAGGAGCUGGCAUUGGUUGCUCAUUGUUCUUCCUCCUUAACACUCUCGAACCCUCAGCCCAUUUAAUAGCCUUAGCAACAGCUCCUUUAAAACCUUCUUAUUCUUCAUUUUCUACUCCUCGCCUAUAUUGAAUGUUCUUUUUGUUCUCUUUUCUCGCCAUGAACUAAACUAAGUCAUCUAGAGCGUCCACUACUUCUCUUAUUGUUGUCCUAGUGUUUGCUUUUUUCUCUCAGACACAUAUAUGCCAAUAUAAGAGCUCUUCUCAUGGCUUCUUCCAUGCCCCCGAGUAUGCUAAAAGCGGGGAACUCACACUCUGAUAUUAAUAGCUUUGCAAUUGGUGAUAUGUUGGAGCCCAUCACUUGGUGCAAACCUAUUAGGGACGCAUCAUUGGGUUCAAAACGUGUACUUGUACAAUGGACUUUACCAUUCAAGAACAACUACAUGAGGAAGAUUUUAGAUCCGAUGCUAACAAUAUAAAGUCUUGGUAUGGAAGAAUCCCCGAGAGAAGCUCUUAUCUUGGCAUUUAUGUGUCUAUGAGAAGAAGCAAACUCUAGACCAAUGAUCAGCGAAGUACUGGACGCUCUAUAUGACCUAGUUAAGUGGCCAGAAAAGAGAAGAAAAAGAGCAUUCAACAUGGGCGAGGAGUAGAGUGGGGAGGGGGAAGAAAGUGGACGUCACAGUGACCUCACCGACAGAGACGAUGAGGUUGUCGAAUGUUAUUGAUGUAGAUGAAGAAAAAGAAGAAAAUGAAGAUUUUGAUAAAGAAAAAGCUGUUGUUGAGGCUAUAUAAUGGGCUGAGGGUUGAAGAACGUUGAGGAGGAAGAAGAACAGAGGGUUGAAAUUGAACAAAUGUUUUAUAUGUAUUUACUUAUUAGUUGUGUUUUUUUUUGUUAAAGGCCUUACUUAUUAGUUAUGUUUCUUGGCUAUAAUAAUAGUUUCAUGUCGAGAAAACUCACAUCAGGCAUUGGUUGAAUGUAAUAUUGGCGUUUCAUUGUUGGCGAAAACUAAAAGAUUUUAAUGA